rnacentral:rRNA from 1 species
GAGUGAACGCUGGCGGUAGGCCUAACACAUGCAAGUCGAACAGCAGCACAGUAAGAGCUUGCUCUUACGGGUGGCGAGUGGCGGACGGGUGAGGAAUACAUCGGAAUCUACUUUUUCGUGGGGGAUAACGUAGGGAAACUUACGCUAAUACCGCAUACGACCUACGGGUGAAAGCAGGGGAUCUUCGGACCUUGCGCGAUUGAAUGAGCCGAUGUCGGAUUAGCUAGUUGGCGGGGUAAAGGCCCACCAAGGCGACGAUCCGUAGCUGGUCUGAGAGGAUGAUCAGCCACACUGGAACUGAGACACGGUCCAGACUCCUACGGGAGGCAGCAAUGGGGAAUAUUGGACAAUGGGCGCAAGCCUGAUCCAGCCAUACCGCGUGGGUGAAGAAGGCCUUCGGGUUGUAAAGCCCUUUUGUUGGGAAAGAAAAGCAGCAGGUUAAUACCCCGCUGUUCUGACGGUACCCAAAGAAUAAGCACCGGCUAACUUCGUG